rnacentral:lncRNA from 1 species
AACAAAACGUUGAGUGUCACUGAUAUAUUUAUGAACAGAUUUAAAAAUAGCAAUAUUCAUAUCAUAUGAAAAUAAUCUGUUUCCAAAAAGUAAUAAUUCAAUAUUUAUAUCAACAUUAUCAGCAAUGGAGUUAAUGGAAUCAAGAAGGAUCUGUCUUACAUCAUUGUACUUAGGGCAAAUGAAAAAUAAAUGUUUGUUAUCCUCAACAGGGUGAUUACAGUUUGCACAAAAAGUGUUCUCGGAUAAGAAUUGAUUAAACAGAUGAGAUUUUAGGUUGCUAGCAUUAUUUCUGAGUUGACAAUGACUUAUAUUAAGUUUCCUUAUCCCAUAGUUGAAGGGUUUAAAUAUAUCAUCAGUCCUAUAAAACUUUUCCAGUCCACUUCUAAAUAUACCCAAACUUGGGGAUUUUUGUAAACUCAAAGGAAGACUGUUCCAAAGUCUUAUAGUGGAAGGAAUGAAACUAUUGAAAUAAGAGCUAGUUCUAGCAAGAGGCGGAUGAAAAGUGUUAUUUUCAUUCCUCAAAGUAUAAGGGGUUUGUCUGGGAAGAUAUGGCUGGACUAACUCAUAUAAGUAUGCAGGUGUCAUCCCAUUUAAUAUUUUAUAGAAUAGUACAAGCUUAUGUUUAUUACGUCUAUUCUCCAGAGUUUCUAAACCUAAUUCAAUAUAAAGUUUUUGUCUGGAGGAAUUAAGUCGUAAACCUGUAAUUAUUCUAGCGGCUUCUAUCUGAAUAUUUUCAAGAAGCUCAGACUCGUGCUGGGAGCAAUUGCCCCAUACAACAUCCCC